rnacentral:rRNA from 1 species
GAGCACGUAGGUGGGUUUGUAAGUCAGAUGUGAAAGCCUUCUGUUCAACGGAAGAAUUGCAUCUGAAACUACAAACCUUGAGUAUAGGAGGGGAGAGUGGAACUUCUGGUGGAGCGGUGAAAUGCGUAGAUAUCAGAAGGAACGCCGGCGGCGAAAGCGACUCUCUGGCCUAUAACUGACACUGAGUGUGCGAAAACUAGGGGAGCAAACGGGAUUAGAUACCCCGGUAGUCCUAGCCGUAAACGAUGGGCACUAAGUAGAGGGG